rnacentral:rRNA from 1 species
UGGGGAAUUUUGGACAAUGGGGGCAACCCUGAUCCAGCCAUGCCGCGUGCGGGAAGAAGGCCUUCGGGUUGUAAACCGCUUUUGGUCGGGAAGAAAAGGCAUCGGCUAACACCCGGUGUUCUUGACGGUACCGGCAGAAUAAGCACCGGCUAACUACGUGCCAGCAGCCGCGGUAAUACGUAGGGUGCGAGCGUUAAUCGGAAUUACUGGGCGUAAAGCGUGCGUAGGCGGUUCGUUGUGUCCGGUGUGAAAGCCCCGAGCUUAACUUGGGAAUGGCAUUGGAAACUGGCGAGCUGGAGUGUGGCAGAGGGGGGUGGAAUUCCACGUGUAGCAGUGAAAUGCGUAGAGAUGUGGAGGAACACCGAUGGCGAAGGCAGCCCCCUGGGCCAACACUGACGCUCAGGCACGAAAGCGUGGGGAGCAAACAG